rnacentral:rRNA from 1 species
GAACACUGGCGGCGUGUUCACACAUGCAAGUAGAACGAACCUUCGGGUUAGUGGCGGACGGGUGAGUAACGCUUGCCAAUCUGCCCUCAGGAGGGGGAUAACGGUUGGAAACGACCGCUAAUACCCCAUAUGCCGAGAGGUGAAAAGAAAUUCGCCUGAGGAUGAGCUCGCGUCUGAUUAGCUAGUUGGUGUGGUAAUGGCGCACCAAGGCUUCGAUCAGUAGCUGGUCUGAGAGGAUGAUCAGCCACACUGGGACUGAGACACGGCCCAGACUCCUACGGGAGGCAGCAGUGG